CACGUAGGGCGCAAGCGUUGUCCGGAAUUAUUGGGCGUAAAGAGCGUGUAGGCGGCCAGGUAGGUCCGUUGUGAAAACUCGAGGCUCAACCUCGAGACGUCGGCGGAAACCCUCUGGCUAGAGUCCGGAAGAGGAGAGUGGAAUUCCUGGUGUAGCGGUGAAAUGCGCAGAUAUCAGGAAGAACACCCGUGGCGAAGGCGGCUCUCUGGGACGGUACUGACGCUGAGACGCGAAAGCGUGGGGAGCAAACAGG
rnacentral:rRNA from 1 species